rnacentral:rRNA from 1 species
GAUGAACGCUGGCGGCGUGCCUAAUACAUGCAAGUCGAGCGAAUGGAUUAAGAGCUUGCUCUUAUGAAGUUAGCGGCGGACGGGUGAGUAACACGUGGGUAACCUGCCCAUAAGACUGGGAUAACUCCGGGAAACCGGGGCUAAUACCGGAUAACAUUUUGAACCGCAUGGUUCGAAAUUGAAAGGCGGCUUCGGCUGUCACUUAUGGAUGGGCCCGCGUCGCAUAGCUAGUUGGUGAGGUAACGGCUCACCAAGGCAACGAUGCGUAGCCGGCCUGGGAGGGUGAUCGGCCACACUGGGACUGAGACACGGCCCAGACUCCUACGGGAGGCAGCAGUAGGGAAUCUUCCGCAAUGGACGAAAGUCUGACGGAGCAACGCCGCGUGAGUGAUGAAGGCUUUCGGGUCGUAAAACUCUGUUGUUAGGGAAGAACAAGUGCUAGUUGAAUAAGCUGGCACCUUGACGGUACCUAACCAGAAAGCCACGGCUAACUACGUGCCAGCCGCCGCGGUAA